rnacentral:miRNA from 1 species
UUUUGAUUGAUUUUAGUUUGAAGAUUAUCUUGUUAGAUACUAGGAUAGCUACCCCAGGGCUGGAGAGAUGGCUCAGCCGUUAAAGGCUAGGCUCACAACCAAAAAUAUA